CCUACGGGGGGCUGCAGUCGAGAAUCAUUCACAAUGGGCGAAACCCUGAUGGUGCGACGCCGCGUGGGGGAAUGAAGGUCUUCGGAUUGUAAACCCCUGUCAUGUGGGAGCAAAUGAAAAAGAUAGUACCACAAGAGGAAGACACGGCUAACUCUGUGCCAGCAGCCGCGGUAAUACAGAGGUCUCAAGCGUUGUUCGGAAUCACUGGGCGUAAAGCGUGCGUAGGCGGUUUCGUAAGUCGGGUGUGAAAGGCCCGGGCUCAACCGGCGGAGGGCACAUGAUACUGCGAGACUAGAGUGAUGGAGGGGGAACCGGAAUUCGCGGUGUAGCAGUGAAAUGCGUAGAUAUCGAGAGGAACACUCGUGGCGAAGGCGGGUUCCUGGACAUUAACUGACGCUGAGGCACGAAGGCCAGGGGAGCGAAAGGGAUUAGAUACCCUUGUAGUC
rnacentral:rRNA from 1 species